GCUGCUCCCCUUGCGUGGAGCGAAGGCUCCUUGCUUUGUGAAGAAGGCUUUUCCCUGCUCUGUCAGCCACGCGGGCUCAAAUCCAGCUGCUCUUCUGCAGGACUCUGAAAUACCAUGUCUUGAAGCCCUUCCCUCCCCGUGGAACAAUUGGUCAUUGUUUCCUUGUGUCCAGCUUCCUGCUUCUGCCGCUGGCGGGGAGGGCGGGCUUGGGAGGGGCGUACUUGGGCCUCUGGCUAAAUCAUCGGGAGCCCCCCGGAGCCAGUUGGAUCUGCUGAGCUGAGUGGAACGUGAGCAGCUCUGGAAAUGAAAAGGCCUUUGUCGUCCGCUCGUGGAACAUCUGGGGGUGGGCCGAGGCACUCCGUCGGCUGCGAGGUGCUCGGUCAGAAAUGGGCAGCGUGGGCGGAUUUCCCUCUUGGGGUGUCUGAAGAGGACUUCUGGGUUUUCCUACUGGGAGGGCUGAGAUCGUGUGGAGUCCCAGCAGCGGUUGCUCUGUUUCGUGGGUUGUAGCCAAGGCCAAAAAGAGUCUUGCACGAUGAAUGUGCGGAUGGAGCGCAUGCCAGAAAAGAAUGGUUUGCCUUGAACUGGUGCCAUGAUAAAUCUGUUUGUCCCGAAGGUACCGCAAAACCCUUCUGAACUAUCAGCUAAGUGGCAGCCAGAUGCAUGGGUCAUCCCAUCCAGCGGGCUGCAAAACAGCUGGAGGGCACUAAGCUUGGGCAGAGGGGCAUCCAUAAGUGCCAGAGUGCUGUACAAAUGCUAUUGGUUUUUUGUUCUUUUUGCUUGUUUGCUUUUUUGUCCUCUGUAAGCCAUCCAGAGACUUUUAGUAAUGGGAUGGCAUGGACAAACUUUAAAUAAAUUUAUACAUUUUGAUAUUUAAACCUUUAUAAAGAGAACCAUAAAAAUAGUUUUGCUGUAGAGAACUAUAUCAAUUUGUACCAGCCAGGAAGGACAUGAACGUUCUCUUCUCCUGCUUUUGCCCUGUUUCUCCCCACAAAGAAAGAUGGAAUGCACUCUUCUGUAGGCCUCCAGACCACGUAAGUGUCGGCUGAAAGCAUCGCUUCUCGCAAAUCAAUAUUGCUAAUGGGCCUUCUCGGAUGCCAUUUAGAAUCGGCUGCUAGAGCAAAUGGGCAGCCUCAGCGGCGCUGGCUUGGUGCAGCUGCACAGAUUGCGUAGAUGAAUCUGGCUCUCUAUAAAAUGUUGAUGUGCUUCCUUGACAGCUGGAUGACGAAUGCACCAUCCUUACCAGUAAACAUCUUUGUCCAUAAAAUAUCUGAGCUGGCAGCCAACCUUGCUUGGGACGGAGGGAGAGAGAAGCACUGAGGAGACCAUGUCUUGGUCGGAAAAGUCCUUGAGCGAUUCUCCUUGGCCCACACCCGGCCGUGGCACAUGGGUCCACUUCGGGGGAAGAUCAUUUUCUUUAUAGAGUGUGCCAUGCCUUCUCCAUUGAUGCUUUGCACAAAGGGGCCUUUCUUGAGAGGUGCCAUUGUGCCAGGCCGCUUCUCGCUCCAGUGUAGCCCUUUUAAUGUUUGCCUGGAACCGGCCGAGGAUGUCAGAGGCUUAACUGAGGUGUGGACAGAGCUCUGCCCUUUUGGCACAGACUGGGCCUUUAUUCUCCGCAUCGCUCUACACUUCCUUCCCCUGAGCCACUUGGCCCCCCAUUCUCCAGUUUAGGGAGAACUUGUUGGAGUGCUUCACAAUCCCUUUUUGUUUUAACCACCCGGAAUAGUUUGGUGUCACCUGCAAACCUGGCCACUUCCCAGCUCAUUGCUAAUUCUAGGCCAUCCAGGGAGGUGGGGAAGUGUUCGUCUCGGAGAACUCCCUCAGACGCCAGGUCUGCUGUGCUUUCGUCCAUGUGUUGACCUCAGAGUUUGCUUCUUGCUCUGGGCGCACUGCAUCAUGUUUUAGACUAUGACAUUUACAGGAAAAGAGUUAAAAGAGUUUGGGGUAAAAGUGAAUCCCGGAUAGGAAACUGGUCCUCGGUUCAGAAGAAAAUGAUCAAACCUUAAUUUGCUUUUGUUUCAGCUGAGUCAGGAAAUGGGUAGAGCACACCGGAUACCCCUGAACAAGCAUCCUGCAGCUGUUACCCAGGCUUCGUUGACACACAUUUCAUUCAUGCACCACACAUGGAGUGGCUGGCAGGUGUGUUGUGUGUUUAUUGUGGGUGUUCCUAAGCAACCUCUGCCACAGAUGGUAUAAAAGGAAUUACUGUUUUUCGCGGUGUUGUGCACACAAGGCAGAGCCAUUGUACAGUUGGGUGCUGAACAUUUUCAUCCCACUCCCCCAGGUGACUUUGUGGAGAAGUCGGGUGCUGUGGUGUGAUGGUUUUUAAAGUACAUUUUAUUUUUUCUUUUAUAAAGUGAAAUGUCUUCAGAAAUAUAAAAUAGAAAUGCUUUCACAAUUAACAGGAUCUCGAUCUCUCUCAUAUAGUGUGUGUGUGUGUGUGAGAACAUAUUUAGAUGGCUUGUAUCCUGACUUUCAAUGGAAUGAAAGUCCCAAAACAGGUCCCAGUAGGUUACAAUAGCACGCACAAGCCCACCCCACCCCACCCCACAAAACCCUUCAGCUCUGCUGGCCUAGCCACAAACGUUUACUGUGAUGUAGGGAGUUUUGUCCCAGUUGUUCAGAUGAAGCAGAUUUUUAAAAUCAGAGUUUCAUUCUACUUGAGUUACUUUUAUUUCCAAGAAAGUAUCUUGACUCCAAGUGAGUCCCACAUGCAUUUGCAAAACAUAAAAAUGGAGGUGGCAAAACCCUGGAAAAUUAAGCUUGGAGGUGGUGGGAGAAUCUUGUGGAGGGCCCUUUUUGUGGUGUGUGUGCGUGUUGGUUAAGGCUGUGUGUCAAAAUGUCAGAUAAUUCCACAACAGAUCCACGUGAGUUCAGACUUCUAUGAAUUCAGCACAUGGGUUUCAUGGCAGUGAAAAAUGAUGUGGAUUGCACAUCCUUCUGGACUGGUUUCUGGAUUGAACCCCAGACUUUUUAUGUGCAAAGUAGGGGUUUUACCUCUAGAUCUCACCCCAGUGGUUGGCCCAACAGGAUCUGCUGCUCAGUGGCUAAUACCUGGGUACUUCCUAGCAUCAAAAAGGGAAAACCGGGAGUAGCAAUCCUUGCUUCAUUGCUCCAUACAGGGAACAAUGAAGCAAGAAUCUAACAAAACUGUUAUUAAUAGAGUUGUGUAAAGUAAUUGUUAGCCAAGUACAUCUUUAAUUAAUUGGUGAUGGAAAGCAAAUUUACUUGGUAGUGUUGACAUUUAAUAGCAGACUUGAUUUUUGAAACCGCUUUUCAGCAGUGUUACCCUAAAGGCUAUGAAAAAGACAAAGUUAAAUGUGGCUCAGGUGAAAAAUGAUUCCAGCUGCUCUCUGUUUGCACCUGAGUGACCCCCCCCCCCAAAAUAAUGUGAUUUACUUCUGAGUAGGACAUGUCUAGGCUUGUGUGAUUCAUGGGCUGGAGACAGUUUCAGAUAGUUUGCCUUUAAUGUAAGAAAUUACUUUUGUUCAGAUCGUUUUACAUUUAGCACUUUACUGCGUUUGAAAACAAAACAGGGACGUGGAAGUGUAUUUUUGAGACUUUGUAAAGGGUUUGUGCUAAAUAAAUAACAACUUUAAGAA